UAUCAUAAUAUAAAAAAAUUAGAUUACGAUUGCAUCAAUUGCUCGUAUCUAUAGAAAGAUAAAUGUCAUCUGUGUAGUGUAAUAUAAUAUUAUUGUACUCGUGGGAUAUCUUUGGAAAGUCAUUUUUACACCUAUAGACCAAAACAAAUAUAAAAGUUUGUACAUAAAAAUAUCGAUUGUAAACUGCAAUUAUAGAACGUGAACAAAUUAUGAAAGUAAUGAAAAAUUAAUUUUUCAAUA